CUAAGUUUGAUGGCGACCGGCGCACGGGUGAGUAACACGUAUCCAACCUGCCGAUGACUCGGGGAUAGCCUUUCGAAAGAAAGAUUAAUACCCGAUGGCAUAGUUCUUCCGCAUGGUGGAACUAUUAAAGAAUUUCGGUCAUCGAUGGGGAUGCGUUCCAUUAGGUUGUUGGCGGGGUAACGGCCCACCAAGCCUUCGAUGGAUAGGGGUUCUGAGAGGAAGGUCCCCCACAUUGGAACUGAGACACGGUCCAAACUCCUACGGGAGGCAGCAUA
rnacentral:rRNA from 1 species